rnacentral:rRNA from 1 species
UCGAGAAUCUUCGGCAAUGAGCGCAAGCUUGACCGAGCGACGCCGCGUGCGGGAUGAAGGCCUUCGGGUUGUAAACCGCUUUGGUCCGAAAGAAAGGGUAAAACUUGAUCGAUCGGAGAAACAAGGACGGGCUAAGUUCGUGCCAGCAGCCGCGGUAAGACGAACCGUCCAAACGUUAUUCGGAAUCACUGGGCUUAAAGGGCGCGUAGGCGGCCGAGCGGGUCGUGGGUGAAAUCCUCCAGCUUAACUGGAGAACUGCUUACGAUACCACUGCGGCUCGAGGAAGGAAGGGGUCAUGGGAACUGUCGGUGGAGCGGUGAAAUGCGUAGAUAUCAGGAGGAACACCGGUGGCGAAAGCGGCUCACUGGACCGUUACUGACGCUGAGGUGCGAAAGCUAGGGGAGCAAACGGGAUUAGAUACCCCAGUAGUCCCUGAGCGGGCUGGCAAGGCGCAU